rnacentral:rRNA from 1 species
CACGUAGGGCGCAAGCGUUGUCCGGAAUUAUUGGGCGUAAAGCGCACGUAGGCGGCAUUGCAAGUCGGAUGUGAAAUCCCUCGGCUUAACCAAGGAAGUGCAUCCGAAACUGCAGUGCUUGAGUACGAAAGAGGAUCGCGGAAUUCCCGGUGUAGAGGUGAAAUUCGUAGAUAUCGGGAGGAACACCAGUGGCGAAGGCGGCGAUCUGGGUCGAUACUGACGCUGAGGUGCGAAAGCGUGGGGAGCAAACAGG